rnacentral:rRNA from 1 species
UACGUAGGCAGCGAGCGUUGUUCGGAGUUACGUGGGCGUAAAGGGUGUGUAGGCGGUUGUUUAAGUUUGGUGUGAAAUCUCCCGGCUCAACUGGGAGGGUGCGCCGAAUGACUGAAUGACUAGAGUGCGGGAGAGGAGAGUGGAAUUCCUGGUGUAGCGGUGAAAUGCGUAGAUAUCAGGAGGAACACCGGCGGUGUAGACGGCUCUCUGGACCGUAACUGACGCUGAGACACGAAAGCGUGGGUAGCAAACAGG